CAGAGGGAGGCAAAGCCGCGAGGCAGAGCAAACCCCUAAAAGCCAUCCCAGUUCGGAUUGCAGGCUGCAACCCGCCUGUAUGAAGUUGGAAUCGCUAGUAAUCGCGGAUCAGCAUGCCGCGGUGAAUACGUUCCCGGGCCUUGUACACACCGCCCGUCACACCAUGAGAGUCGGGAACACCCGAAGUCCGUAGCCUAACCGCAAGGAGGGCGCGGCCGAAGGUGGGUUCGAUAAUUGGGGUGAAGUCGUAACAAGGUAAC
rnacentral:rRNA from 1 species